rnacentral:rRNA from 1 species
UGGGGAAUAUUGGACAAUGGGGGCAACCCUGAUCCAGCAAUGCCGCGUGUGUGAAGAAGGUCUUCGGAUUGUAAAGCACUUUCGACGGGGACGAUGAUGACGGUACCCGUAGAAGAAGCCCCGGCUAACUUCGUGCCAGCAGCCGCGGUAAUACGAAGGGGGCUAGCGUUGCUCGGAAUGACUGGGCGUAAAGGGCGUGUAGGCGGUUUACACAGUCAGAUGUGAAAUCCCCGGGCUUAACCUGGGAGCUGCAUUUGAUACGUGUAGACUAGAGUGUGAGAGAGGGUUUGUGGAAUUCCCAGUGUAGAGGUGAAAUUCGUAGAUAUUGGGAAGAACACCGGUGGCGAAGGCGGCAACCUGGCUCAUGACUGACGCUGAGGCGCGAAAGCGUGGGGAGCAAACAGGAUUAGAUACCCUGGUAGUCCACGCUGUAAACGAUGUGUGCUAGAUGUUGGGUAACUUUGUUAUUCAGUGUCGCA